AAUCAACGCUGGCGGCGUGCCUAACACAUGCAAGUCGAACGAGAAAGUGGGGCAACUCCAUGAGUAAAGUGGCAGACGGGUGAGUAACACGUGAACAACCUACCCUCGAGUGGGGAAUAACACCGCGAAAGCGGUGCUAAUACCGCAUAAUAUCUUUAAGUCGCAUGACAUGAAGAUCAAAAGCGCCAGUUGCUUGAGGAGGGGUUCGGGCCUGAUUAGCUAGUUGGUGAGGUAACGGCCCACCAAGGCGACGAUCAGGAGCCGGCCUGAGAGGGCGAACGGCCACACUGGAACUGAGACACGGUCCAGACUCCUACGGGAGGCAGCAGUGGGGAAUUUUGCGCAAUGGGCGAAAGCCUGACGCAGCAACGCCGCGUGGAGGAUGAAGGCCUUCGGGUCGUAAACUCCUGUCAGUGGGGACGAAUGCCUCGCAAGAGGUUUGACUGUACCCGCUGAGGAAGCCACGGCUAACUCCGUGCCAGC
rnacentral:rRNA from 1 species